rnacentral:rRNA from 1 species
GGAUGCCCGCUGUUGGUACCUGGUAUCAGCGGCUAAGCGAAAGCAUUAAGCAUUGAGCAUCCCACCUGGGGAGUACGCCGGCAACGGUGAAACUCAAAGGAAUUGACGGGGGCCCGCACAAGCGGAGGAACAUGUGGUUUAAUUCGAUGAUACGCGAGGAACCUUACCCGGGCUUGAAUUGCAGAGGAAGGAUUUAGAGAUAAUGACGCCCUUCGGGGUCUCUGUGAAGGUGCUGCAUGGCUGUCGUCAG